rnacentral:rRNA from 1 species
GGCGGCGUGCCUAACACAUGCAAGUCGAACGAGAAAGUGGAGCAAUCCAUGAGUAAAGUGGCGACCGGGUGAGUAACACGUGACUACCUACCCUUGAGUGGGGGAUAACCUCGGGAAACCGAGGCUAAUACCGCAUAAUAUCGAAAGAUCAAAGGAGUAAUCCGCUUUUGGAGGGGGUCGCGGCUGAUUAGCUAGUUGGUAGGGUAAUGGCCUACCAAGGCGAAGAUCGGUAUCCGGCCUGAGAGGGCGCACGGACACACUGGAACUGAAACACGGUCCAGACUCCUACGGGAGGCGGCAGUGGGGAAUUUUGCGCAAUGGGGGAAACCCUGACGCAGCAACGCCGCGUGGAGGAUGAAGCCCCUUGGGGUGUAAACUCCUUUCGACCGGGAAAAUUAUGAUGGUACCGGUGGAAGAAGCACCGGCUAACUCUGUGCCAGCAGCCGCGGUAAUACAGANGGUGCGAGCGUUGUUCGGAAUUAUUGGGCGUNAAGGGCGCGUA